UGGGGAAUAUUGGACAAUGGGGGCAACCCUGAUCCAGCCAUGCCGCGUGAGUGAAGGAGGCCUUAGGGUUGUAAAGCUCUUUCAGUCGUGACGAUGAUGACGGUAGCGACAGAAGAAGCCCCGGCUAACUCCGUGCCAGCAGCCGCGGUAAUACGGAGGGGGCAAGCGUAGUUCGGAUUUACUGGGCGUAAAGGGCGCGUAGGCGGGGUAUCCAGUUAGGGGUGAAAGCCCGGGGCUCAACCUGGGAAUUGCAUUCGAUACUGCUGAGCUAGAGUAUGGUAGAGGGAAGUGGAAUUUCCGGUGUAGCGGUGAAAUGCGUAGAUAUCGGAAGGAACACCAGUGGCGAAGGCGACUUCCUGGGCCAAUACUGACGCUGAGGUGCGAAAGCGUGGGGAGCAAACAGGAUUAGAUACCCCUGUAGUCC
rnacentral:rRNA from 1 species